CUUGCAGGGUACUCGAGUGGCGAACGGGUGAGUAACACGUGGGUGAUCUGCCCUGCACUUCGGGAUAAGCUUGGGAAACUGGGUCUAAUACCGGAUAGGAACCAUCUUUAGUGUGGUGGUUGGAAAGUUUUUUCGGUGUAGGAUGAGCUCGCGGCCUAUCAGCUUGUUGGUGGGGUAAUGGCCUACCAAGGCGGCGACGGGUAGCCGGCCUGAGAGGGUGUACGGCCACAUUGGGACUGAGGUACGGCCCAG
rnacentral:rRNA from 1 species